rnacentral:rRNA from 1 species
UACGUAGGGUGCUAGCGUUGUCCGGAUUUAUUGGGCGUAAAGAGCGUGUAGGCGGCCAGAUAGGUCCGUUGUGAAAACUCGAGGCUCAACCUCGAGACGCCGAUGGAAACCAUUUGGCUAGAGUCCGGAAGAGGAGAGUGGAAUUCCUGGUGUAGCGGUGAAAUGCGCAGAUAUCAGGAAGAACACCCGUGGCUAAGGCGGCUCUCUAGUACGGUACUGACGCUGAGACGCGAAAGCGUGGGGAGCGAACAGG